GUCCACCUCCCCACCGGUGACGAAUUCUGAGAUUGUGUCCACUAGGACGGACAGUUCCAAAAGAGCAGAAUCGUGGGACUUUAAUGUGCUGAUGGGAAUUCGAGUGACGGUGGCAGUCUGUGUGCCUGUGGCCGUGCUUCUCUUUCUCUGGUGCGGAAUGUGUGGCUCGUGAGAAGGUUGGACCACACAGAACAUUGUGGGCUGUCUACGCACAGUGAGAUCCCACUAUCCCCAGAAUUCAGGACCCUUGGCACUUAUACAUUCUCUCCUCUUCCACUGCCCGUCAGCAGAAGAUACAAACAGUUCAAACUGGUCCAACCAGACUCAAGGACAACGUCUGUCCCGCCAUCACCAAACGUCUGGGACCCAAGAAGAUGAACGCGUGAUCUGUGUCUUGGUAUUUGUGACAAUCGUAAACCAGUUACCAACAAUAGGCAGCAGAUACGAGCUGCUCCUUAAAUGGCAAGAGGAGUUGAGUGAUAAAUUUGCACUUAGUGGCCACUUCUACCUACACCCGAUCAAUGCAAAUAUCUAAUCUAUCUAAUUGAUUCCUAAGCUCCAGAACCUGGAUCUCAGCACUCAGAUCUGCAGCUGGAUCUUCAACUUCCUCACAGACAGGACCCAGGCUGUAAAGAUAGGGGACAAGCUCUCCUCUACAAUCACUCUGAGCACUGGUGCCCCACAAGGCUGUUUACUCAGCCCCCUGCUGUACUCACUGUACACCCACGAUUGUGUAGCCAAGUUUUCAUCGGACUCAAUAUAUAAGUUUGCUGAUGACACAACAAUUGUAGGCCAUAUCUUGGGUAAUGAUGAGUCUGAGUACAGAGAGGAAUUUAAGAACCUGGUGGCAUGGUGCGAAGACAA